rnacentral:rRNA from 1 species
UACGUAGGUGACAAGCGUUGUCCGGAUUUACUGGGCGUAAAGAGCGCGCAGGCGGUCGUUCAAGUCGAGUGUGAAAGCCCCCGGCUCAACUGGGGAGGGUCACGCGAUACUGAUCGACUCGAAGGCAGGAGAGGGAAGUGGAAUUCCCGGUGUAGUGGUGAAAUGCGUAGAUAUCGGGAGGAACACCAGUGGCGAAGGCGACUUCCUGGCCUGUUCUUGACGCUGAGGCGCGAAAGCUAGGGGAGCAAACGGG